UACGUAGGGUGCGAGCGUUAAUCGGAAUUACUGGGCGUAAAGCGUGCGCAGGCGGUUUUGUAAGCCAGAUGUGAAAUCCCCGGGCUCAACCUGGGAACUGCAUCCGAGACUGCAUUGCUAGAGUAUGGGAGAGGGAAGCGGAAUUUCUGGUGUAGCAGUGAAAUGCGUAGAUAUCAGAAGGAACAUCAGUGGCGAAGGCGGCUUCCUGGACCAAUACUGACGAUCAGGUGCGAAAGCGUGGGGAGCAAACAGG
rnacentral:rRNA from 1 species